rnacentral:lncRNA from 1 species
AAAUUUUACAGCGUAAAAACAAAAAUAAAUUUACCUGACAAAAGUAAUAUGAAUAUAAAAUUAUUUUGCUUACAAUCAGUAUAUGCAUGAAACACCUCAAUUGAUAUUCAAUAUGAUAAAAAUAUCGAAUCAAACAACUAGCCAAAAGAAUAAUAAAUCAAUGUAUUGUAUUAAUAUCAAAUUUACCCAAGGCAUGCAAGUAUACAAAAUAAAUACAAUAUAAAUUCUAGUAUCGCCGUUUUCAUCCCUAAUCAAC